GGCUCUGUGGUGUAACGGAUAGCAUGACUGUCUUCGGAACAGUUGGUCGGGGUUCGAGUCCCUGUGGAGCUA
rnacentral:tRNA from 1 species